rnacentral:rRNA from 1 species
UGGGGAAUUUUGGACAAUAGGCGCAAGCCUGAUCCAGCAAUGCCGCGUGCAGGAUGAAGGCCUUCGGGUUGUAAACUGCUUUUGUACGGAGCGAAAAGGUCUGCCCUAAUACGGUGGGCUCAUGACGGUACCGUAAGAAUAAGCACCGGCUAACUACGUGCCAGCAACCGCGGUAAUACGUAGGGUGCGAGCGUUAAUCGGAAUUACUGGGCGUAAAGCGUGCGCAGGCGGUUAUAUAAGACAGAGGUGAAAUCCCCGGGCUCAACCUGGGAACUGCCUUUGUGACUGCAUAGCUAGAGUACGGUAGAGGGGGAUGGAAUUCCGCGUGUAGCAGUGAAAUGCGUAGAUAUGCGGAGGAACACCGAUGGCGAAGGCAAUCCCCUGGACCUGUACUGACGCUCAUGCACGAAAGCGUGGGGAGCAAACA